ensembl:lncRNA LINC01739 long intergenic non-protein coding RNA 1739
GGGGGAUAAAAGGAAAAGAACAGUCAGGACAAAUGUGUUUUCAAUGGUGCUUAGCAGCAGGAGACCACUGGGACUUCAGAGCAACGCUACUGGAGUGUGACAUCAUAAUACGCCUUUCUCUGGAAUGGACCGAAUAUGGAAUAACAUGGACAUGUCUGAUGCACAUCUGGAGAUGGGACGGCAGCGCAUAAUACUUCCUGGAACUGCGAGACAAUGGGGUUGUCUUUUGACAUUGAGGCAGGUUAUUAAAUAGAAGUGUGAACUAUUAAGAGAUGAUCUUGACCCUCAAUACAUUUUUAUCAAAGUCAAAAAAUAUUUGACACCACUGAACAGCUUAUCACAGGCACAAAAGGGGAAAUGCUUUAUUAUGGAAAUGUGUACUAUGUUCUUCAAAACAGAAGAAUAAAAAUAUAUGCAUUUUUAAAUGAAUAACAGCUUGUAAGACUCCCAAUGAUUAACAGCAGUUGUACAUUAAGUAUUCUCUGAAAUGAUAUUUGUAAACUGGAGGGUUGACCAAUCUUAGUGCGAACUUCCUAAAUUAAAAAUUAAAUUUUAAAUUAAAUUUUAAAACAA